rnacentral:rRNA from 1 species
UACGUAGGGGGCGAGCGUUGUCCGAAUUCACUGGGCGUAAAGCGCGCGUAGGCGGACUUUUAAGUUGGGGGUGAAAUCCCGAGGCUCAACCUCGGAACUGCCUUCAAAACUGGGAGUCUUGAGGUAUGGAGAGGGAAGUGGAAUUCCAGGUGUAGCGGUGAUAUGCGUAGAUAUCUGGAGGAACACCCGUGGCGAAGGCGGCUUCCUGGCCAUAUCCUGACGCUGAGGUGCGAAAGCUAGGGGAGCGAACGGG